rnacentral:rRNA from 1 species
CGUCUAUAUACGUAUAGCAUAUCAAUAAGCGGAGGAAAAGAAACUAACUAGGAUUCCCUUAGUAACGGCGAGUGAAGCGGGAAGAGCUCAAAUUUGAAAUCUUCAAGGUUCUACCUUGACGAAUUGUAGUUUAAUAGAAGUGUUUUCUGUUAGUGAGUUGGCUAAAAGUUCUUUGGAAAUAGGACAUCAUAGAGGGUGAGAAUCCCGUAUUUGUACAUAUCCUCCUAGCUUUGUGAUACACUUUCAACGAGUCGGAUUGUUUGGGAAUGCAGUCCAAAAUGGGUGGUAAAUUUCAUCUAAAGCUAAAUACUGGCGAGAGACCGAUAGCGAACAAGUACCGUGAGGGAAAGAUGAAAAGAACUUUGAAAAGAGAGUUAAACAGUACGUGAAAUUGUCAAAAGGGAAGCGUUUGACACCAGUGUUGUUUUUCCGAAAAUCAAUUACGAAUGUUUUAUUUUUGAGGAGUUAUGACUUCAUCGGCUUGCUUCCUUUCUUUAUCGAAACUUUCUUAAUGCACUUUUCGGUUAACAAGUCAACAUCAAUUUCUUUUGUUGUAAAAGGGUAUGAGGAAGGUGGCUUUCUUUUCGGAGAAAGUGUUUAUAGCCUUGUGCCUCUGCAAUCGGAGAGAUUGAGGAUCUGCAGCGUAGAUCCUUCGGGGUUAGAUACAUUUGUGCUAAGUUAUAGCUUUUCAUAGACAACUUGUUGACUAUGAUUCAGUCAUUGUAGCUUACUCGCUUACUGCUAUUUUACCUACGCUUAGGAUGUUGACUGAUAUGUAGUCGU